rnacentral:rRNA from 1 species
GAUGAACGCUGGCGGCGUGCCUAAUACAUGCAAGUCGAGCGAAUGGAUUAAGAGCUUGCUCUUAUGAAGUUAGCGGCGGACGGGUGAGUAACACGUGGGUAACCUGCCCAUAAGACUGGGAUAACUCCGGGAAACCGGGGCUAAUACCGGAUAACAUUUUGAACCGCAUGGUUCGAAAUUGAAAGGCGGCUUCGGCUGUCACUUAUGGAUGGACCCGCGUCGCAUUAGCUAGUUGGUGAGGUAACGGCUCACCAAGGCAACGAUGCGUAGCCGAACUGAGGGGGGGAUCGGCCACACUGGGACUGAGACACGGCCCAGAAUCCUACGGGAGGCAGCAGUAGGGAAUCUUCCGCAAUGGACGAAAGUCUGACGGAGCAACGCCGCGUGAGUGAUGAAGGCUUUCGGGUCGUAAAACUCUGUUGUUAGGGAAGAACAAGUGCUAGUUGAAUAAGCUGACACCUUGACGGUACCUAACCAGAAAGCCACGGCUAACUACGUGCCAGCAGCAGCCGCGG